CCUACGGGAGGCAGCAGUGGGGAAUAUUGCACAAUGGGGGAAACCCUGAUGCAGCGACGCCGCGUGAGUGAAGAAGUCAUUCGUUAUGUAAAGCACUAUCAGCAGGGAAGAAAAUGACGGUACCUGAGAACGCAGCCCCGGCUAACUCCGUGCCAGCAGCCGCGGUAAUACGUAGGGCGCAAGCGUUAUUCGGAUUUACUGGGUGUAAAGGUAGCGUAGACGGCAGUGCAAGUCUGGAGUGAAAGGCGGGGGCUCAACCCGCGGACUGCACUGGAAACUGUACGGCUGGAGUGCAGGAGAGGGAAGUAGAAUUCCUGGUGUAGCGGUGAAAUGCGUAGAGAUUAGGAGGAAUACCAGUGGCGAAGGCGGCGCACUGGACUGUAACUGACGUUGAGGUGCGAAAGCGUGGGGAGCAAACAGGAUUAGAUACCCGUGUAGUC
rnacentral:rRNA from 1 species